AUUAGAAAUUAAUAAAUUACUAAAAUUUUAAUUAACCCCUAAUUAACUCCUAAUUAUUAAAGCAUCGUCUUAAAAUACUCCUUAUUAGCUAAUUUUAAGGUUAACAAGAGGUGAAUCUAAAAUUUCCAUAUAGUUGAAGGGGCCAAAAUAACAUCUUUAGAUCGAUCCUUCCCUUCCACUUUGUCGAGCUCCUCACUUUCUCACACAGUGAGCCUGAAAAAAUGAAGACAACGCACAAUCUGCUCGAAGGAACGGUUUCCACUCGGCGUCCGCCACACGCCGCCGAGAACGACGGCGGAGGCGGAGAAGCCGCCGAUGAGUCCAAGACCCGCAAACACAUGACCAUCGCAAUUCGGGUCACGAAUUACUUGACCCGAACGGGCUACCUCUGGCCCAUUCUGGUCACGGCGGUUGCAGUCCUGAUUAUCUACUCUCUACUUUACCGCUCUCACGAUAUUGUGCCGGCCUCCUCCUCCUUCGGCAUCUCGCGAUUGUUCUUCCCUGUUGAUGGAGUCGAAUCGGAUUUCGGAGCGCUCGGCGUUCCUUGGUGCAGAUCAAAACAUGGAAAAACUGUAGAAUGGACACCAAAGGAUUUGCUCCGAGGUCUUGAGGAAUUUGUGCCAAUUUACGAGACCCGUCCCAUUAAGAACAACAUGUAUGGCAUGGGGUUUGAUCACAGUUUUGGACUUUGGUUUAUCACAAGAUGGGUGAAACCGGACUUGAUGAUUGAGAGUGGCGCCUUUAAGGGGCAUUCGACUUGGGUUUUGAGGCAAGCCAUGCCCGAUACACCUAUUUUGUCACUUACACCUCGUCAUCCAGAGAAGUACCUCAAGAAGGGGCCUGCUUAUGUUGAUGGAAACUGCACGUACUUUGCUGGGAAGGACUUUGUCGAUUUUGGGAGCAUGGACUGGGAACGAGUGCUGAGGAAACACGGGAUUGAAGAUCCUACCCGAGUUCUUGUGUUCUUUGAUGACCAUCAAAAUGAACUUAAGAGAUUAAAGCAAGCAGUGAAAGCCGGCUUCAAACAUCUAGUUUUCGAGGACAACUAUGAUACUGGAACUGGUGACCAUUAUUCCUUAAGGCAAAUAUGUGACCAACCUUACAUCAGAGGUGGUGGACAUAGUUGCUUCAGAGAUAGUGAUGAAGCCAGGAUAAGGUAUAGAAGGAGGAAAUUCUGGGAGAAAGCAGUUGAUACAGACGAGCUAUGUGGACCGGGAGAAGCAUGGUGGGGCGUUAGAGGCUACAUGCGGGAUGACUUUAACCACAGCAACAAGGCAAUCACCUACGACGAGCAUUUCCAGAACAGCAGAUUUGUGGAGUCGGUGUUGGAUGUCUACUGGGAGGUACCCCCAGUUGCUGGCCCUUCACUUACUCAUCAGACAAGAUACGAACCAGCACGGGCGCCUAGCCCCAUUGUCAAAGAUGGUCGGUUUGGCUUAUUUCAACGGCUGGGCUUAUCACGAUUCGAGCCUUUAGUGUUCAACGGAUACACUCAAAUGGUGUAUGUUCAGGUAUCUGAACUGGAAACAUAAUCCUUUUGGAUAUAGGGAUGUAUUGCUAGUUUAUACCGCGCUUAUAUCUUGAGAUUGUCGAUUCAUUUUGUUGUUUGUAACAGGUUUUAGUUUUCAGAUUAUGAAUACCUUCUUCCACAAUAUGGUUAAUAUAAAAACCCCUCUUAAGAUGAAAACUAGGAACCAAUUUAAAGCCAUUGAUUUAAAUAAAAUAGAGGGCUGAGAUUAAA